rnacentral:rRNA from 1 species
GAUGAACGCUGGCGGCGUGCUUAAUACAUGCAAGUCGAACGGAGACUGUAGCAAUACUGUCUUAGUGGCGAACGGGUGAGUAACGCGUUGGUGACCUGCCCCGAAGAGGGGGAUAACAGUCCGAAAGGAUUGCUAAUACCCCAUGUGGUCGUUUGGAUUAGAUGCCUUAUGACUAAACGGAUUUAUUCGCUUCGGGAGGGGCCUGCGUCCCAUCAGCUAGUUGGUGAGGUAAUAGCUUACCAAGGCGAUGACGGGUAGGGGACCUGAGAGGGUGGCCCCCCACAAUGGAACUGAAACACGGUCCAUACACCUACGGGUGGCAGCAGUAGGGAAUAUUGGUAAUCUGGGAAACCGGGAACCAGCAACGCCGCGUGCGCGAUGACGGCCUUCGGGUUGUAAAGCGCUUUUGAGAGGAUGAGGAAGGACGGUACGUCUCAGAAUAAGUCUCGGCUAACUACGUG